ensembl:lncRNA novel transcript
CAUCCUGCCACUAACAGAUUUCUCCAAACAUCUCUGCACCUCAGAGUGCAAAUACCAUCAAACAUUUCACUCCAUUGAUAGGAAGCAUCCUUCACUAUCUUCUACCAAGGCCUUUCUCCUUUGUUGCUUCAAAAUUUUUUAUGAAAGGAACAUCCAUUUUAUUCAAAGCACCUCCAAACCUGCAGUCCUAAGUUCCAGGCAACUCAAUCCCAAAAAUCCACUGUAGAUGCCCAAAGGGUGGGGUGUUCGGUCUUCAACAUUUUUGCCUUUAUGGCUCCCAGUCAAGAUAGAGCUGCACCAAGUCCAAUUCCAUUCCUCAUCACAGAUGAUUUUUUCUACUUUAAGAUCAGAACUAUACAAGCUUCUUGCUUUGUGUCAGCAUGCUGUUGUACCCAUGGGCAAAUUCUUAGGUAAGACAAAAACACAGCCCCAAGGGCAGGUAGUAAUUUUUUCAGAAAAAGGUAAGGCAAUCAUUUAUCUCAGUCUGCCCAGGACAGUCCCAAUUUACACAUGUAUAUUCUCCCAAUCUGUAGGCUGUCUUUUCAUUUUGUUGAUUAUUUCAUUUAAUUUUUUAUUAUUUAUUUAUUUUAUAGAGACAGAUCUCAUUAUGUUGCCCAGGGUGAUCCUUGAUCUCCUGGCCUCAAGUGAUCCUCCAACCUUGGUCUCCCAAAGUGCUGGGAUUACAGAUGUGAACUACCACACCCAGUCAACGUGCAGAAGGUUUUCAGUUUGAUGUAGUCUGAUGUAGUCUCAUGUAUUUAUCCUUGUUGUUGUUGCCUGAGCUUUUGGUGUGAUAUCCAAAAAUAUCAUUGCCAAGAUCAAUAUCAAGAAACUUUCCCCCUAUGUUUCUUACAGAAAUUUUAUGGUUUCAGAUUUUUCAUCUAUUUUGAGUAUAUUUUUGUGUAUGAUGUAAGAUAAGGGUCCAGUCUCCCCAGUGUUGGAUAUCCAAUUUUCAUAACACCAUUUAUUGAAGAGAUUAUUCUUUCUCCACUGUGUUUUCUUGAUGUCCUUGUCAAAAAUUAGUUGACUUUUAUAUGCUUGGGUUUAUUUCUGGGCUCUAUUCUGUUUCAUUGCUUUACAUCUCUGUUUUCAUGCCAGUGCCACAGUGUUUUGAUUACUAUAGCUUUGUAAUAUAAUUUGAAAUCAGAAUGUGUAAUACCUAUAACUUUGUUUUUUGCUCUAAAGAUUUAUUUAUUUAUUUAUUUAUUUUUGCCAUUUCAGGUCUUUUGUGGUUUCAUAUGAAUUUCAGAAUUGUUUUUCCUAUUUCUGUGAAAAAUGCCAUUGACAUUUUGAUAGGGAUUGUGUUGAAUCUAUAUAUUGCUUUGGAUAGUAUGGAUGUUUUAACACUAUUAAUUCUCCCAAUCCAUGAACAUGAAAUAUCUUUCCAUUCACUUGUGUCUUCUUCAAUUUCUUUCAUCAAUGUUUUAUAGUUUUCAUUGUGCAGAUCUUUCACUUACCUGGUUAAAUUUAUUCCUACAAUUUCAUUCUUUUUGAUAUUAGGGUAAAUUGAAUUAUUUUCUUGAUUUCUAUAAAUUAUUUAUUAUCAUACUCAUACUUGUCAGGCCUCUGGGCCCAAGCCUGCAUGUAUACAUCCAGAUGGCCUGAAAUAACUGAAGAAUCACAAAAGAAGUGAAAAUGGCCAGUUCCUGCCUUAACUGGUGACAUUACCUUGUGAAAUUCCUUCUCCUGGCUCAGAAGCUCCCCCGCUGAGCACCUUGUGACCCCCGUCCCUGCCCACCAGAGAACAACCCCCUUUGACUGUAAUUGUCCACUACCCACCCAAAUCCUAUAAAACAGCCCCACCCCUGUCUCCCUUCACUGACUCCUUUUUCAGACUCAGCCUGCCUGCACCCAGGUGAAAUAAACAGCCUUGUUGCUCACACAAA